ensembl:lncRNA
UCAGACAUACACACAUAUGUAUAUAGCAGACACCAGACGUCACCCAGAUUCACAGUAAACACAUAAUAAAUAACAGCUAGUCAUAGAAAUGCAGAAACCGAUCAUGCAUUUCUAUAAAACCAGCACAGACCUUAUUUUGGUUACUCUAACUCUGAUUCUGAAGGAAAAUGUUUAUAUUGGUUUGAAACACUAUUUAUUGUUUGCAGCGGGGCACUGCGGUUCCGCUCCGCUCCUGCAGGCGGCGGUAAAGCAGCUGUAACGCUCAAAUACACGCCAUCUUCAUGCACGAGGAACGCAUCGUUCUUUUUCCGCCCGGAUCAGCAGAGACUGCGAGGUGGCAAGAUGCAGAUCUUUGUGAAAACUCUGACCGGUAAGACCAUCACCCUCGAGGUCGAGCCCAGCGACACCAUCGAGAAUGUGAAGGCCAAGAUCCAGGACAAGGAGGUACAAAAUAUCUAAACCUCUUUAAAUCAAGAUACAUUUACUUGAGAUGCAAGCUGAAGAUGUGAAGCUAUGUUUUCUAAGGAUUUAAACCAAACUAAGUGUGUUUAUGCUUUAAAUAAUAACGGGUAUCAAAUUUAAUUUAAUAUAAAGGUAAUUCAAUUUUCAAAUUCAGUAAAAUUAUUAGUAAUUUUUUUUUAUUUGCUCACUUCAUUUUGAUACAUUUCUCAGAAAAUAAAACUUAAAGGGUUAGUUCA